AAGAAUCUGAAGAAUUUUCUAGAGGAUGAAGUCAUUUUUCAUAAACAAGUUUUACUUUCUUCUUUUCUAUUUGGAUGACUAUCAUGUAUUUUCUUGUCUUAUUAGGAAGCAGUGCUUAUUUCAGUAAUUUUUAUUACUGAACAUCAUUAACAAUGUUUCCAACAUUGAUUUUGCAUUUUUUUGGGUAAUGUAUUGGUAGCCUAAUCAGCAGCUACAAGAAAAUAACAUCAAGGACAGAUCCUAAAGCUUAUGUUCACGAUUUCUCAUAGACUGAAAGGACUGCAGGACCAUGCCAUUUGGAGGACAUCAAGCUAUUUGAUACCUGGCAAUCUGGAUGAAAGCGUGUGAGCUGUGACCCUUUUGAUAGGAAGGAAAGAGAUCACACUAUUUCUACCCCUAUAGUUGUGGUGAUGAAGAUGGGAUGCCUGAAGCACCUGACUCACCUACUGAUGAGGUCCAGGUAAAAUGCUGAUAAAGAGCUUGCCAGUAAAGGUAAGAAUUUUUACCAAGUUCAGUUCUGAAUUUCUGCUUGUAGUGUCUGGUCAAGAACUAAAGGUAAAAAUUUAUCUUUAUUUCUUCCUUUCCAAAUGCAGGUCAUCAGGAGAAGAUCAUUUGUUUGAAUUGUUCUCUUGUGUAAAUUUGGAUUUAUGGGACCCAUGUGUUAUUGAUCCUUUCCCUUCAAUAGACAGCUGUCGUUUUGCUGUUUUGUGUCCUGAGAACCUGACUUGGCUUGCUGCCUAUCAGGAUGCCCUUCGGUGUGUGCAGGAGGCCAAACCAAAAGUUGGAGGCGCCCAUUAAAAGUUUACAUAUUGACUAUUGCCAGCUCUCGAGGUGUCUAAAUAUUUCUUUCUUGCGGCGAUCUUUAGAGGUGGCUCUGAAUUUUGAGAGGACUGCAUCUUGGCAUUUCUUUGAAGAUGUCUUAUGCAUCCUUGGUGAAGUCAAAAAAGGCUUGGUUUUGGUACUGAGUCACUUGGUAGGUGUCUUUGUUUUAAAAGAAAAGAGAAAAAAGAAAGUUUCAAACAUUAGAAAUAUGGGUUGUUUGUUCUUGCCGAAAUCCGGUAAGGGGUUUUAAAGUAAUUUUAAGAGCUCUGUAUUCAAUUAUUAGCUUAAUUUAAAGUGGGUAUCAAGGCUACCAUUUUUUAAGGGUCUUUCUGAUUUUCUCCUUGGGAUCUUGUUUAUCCCAUGGAAACAUUUUUUCUGUAAACUUAAGCCUUUUUAAAUUAUAUAUUUGAAUCCUCUGUUUGCUUCCUUUCUUGUAGGCAGGAUUUUUGCUUAAAAAAAUGUAAAACUUCAUUGGCCUUUUGAAGAAGCUUAAGAUCUCCCCAGUCUGGCUCCUCUAAGACUUGUUCUUCUAUUUACUUCUGCCAUUUUCAGUCGUUCAUCUAGCUCUCUCUUAUCAUUGACAAGCCCCUGCCUCUGCAUUUGGUGGUCAGUGGAUGGAAAAUUACUAAGCAGAAACAUCAGAGUUCUGGCUACCACAUAAAGGGUUGUAGAGAAUACUUCUAGAAAGCCUGGGACUCCUCGAAGAAUGCAAAUAAAAAAGAGAGAGAGAGAGAAAGUAGCCACAGAUGCCCCACUACAUAGAGUUUCCUGUCUUCCUCAUGAAGCCCCAAGAGUCAUGGGUAGGUCCUUCUCAUGUCUGGAGCUCUGCUCUCCCUUGCCGUGAGUUCCCUGAUCUCUUUGGCUUUUGGGGUAUCAAGGGUAACUUCACACUGUGAGAGAG
rnacentral:lncRNA from 1 species